rnacentral:rRNA from 1 species
AUUGAACGCUGUCGGGAGGCCUAACACAUGCAAGCCGACCGACUCGCGGACGGGUGAGUGAGUUCUCGGACACUGCCUGAUGGAGGGGGAUCACUACUAGAUACUGUAGUUCAUCCCGCAUACCAUCCGAUGUGUCCAGAUGGGAUUAGCUUGUUGAUGGGGUAACGGCUCACCAAGACGAAGAUCCCCAGCUGGUCUGAGAGGAUGACCAGCCACACUGGAACUGAGCCACGGUCCAGACCCCUACGGGAGGCAGCAGUGGGGAAUAUUGCACAAUGUGCGCAAGCCUGAUGCAGCCAUGCCGCGUGUAUAAAGAAGGCCUUCGGGUUGUAAAGUACUUUCAGCGGGGAGGCGUUACCCGCAGAAGAAGAACCGGCUAACUCCGUGCCAUCAGCCGCGGUAAUUC